rnacentral:rRNA from 1 species
UACGGAGGGUGCAAGCGUUAUCCGGAUUUACUGGGUUUAAAGGGUGCGCAGGCGGAUAUGUAAGUCAGUGGUGAAAUCUUCCCGCUUAACGGGAAAACUGCCAUUGAUACUAUAUAUCUUGAAUGCUGUGGAGGUAAGCAGAAUAUGUCAUGUAGCGGUGAAAUGCUUAGAGAUGACAUAGAAUACCUAUUGCGAAGGCAGCUUACUACGCAGAUAUUGACGCUCAUGCACGAAAGCGUGGGGAGCAAACAGG